rnacentral:rRNA from 1 species
GAUGAACGCUGGCGGCGUGCCUAAUACAUGCCAGUCGAGCGAACAGACGAGGAGCUUGCUCCUCUGACGUUAGCGGCGGACGGGUGAGUAACACGUGGAUAACCUACCUAUAGGACUGGGAUAACUUCGGGAAACCGGGGCUAAUACCGGAUAAUAUAUUGAACCGCAUGGUUCAAUAGUGAAAGACGGUUUUGCUGUCACUUAUAGAUGGAUCCGCGCCGCAUUAGCUAGUUGGUAAGGUAACGGCUUACCAAGGCAACGAUGCGUAGCCGACCUGAGAGGGUGAUCGGCCACACUGGAACUGAGACACGGUCCAGACUCCUACGGGAGGCAGCAGUAGGGAAUCUUCCGCAAUGGGCGAAAGCUUGACGGAGCAACGCCGCGUGAGUGAUGAAGGUCUUCGGAUCGUAAAACUCUGUUAUUAGGGAAGAACAAAUGUGUAAGUAACUAUGCACGUCUUGACGGUACCUAAUCAGAAAGCCACGGCUAACUACGUG